CGGAAGAGGAGGAUUGAGAUGAAGGUGGAUCACGGAAAGAAUGGGACCUUGAUACUUCGGUUUCGAAACAGAGGAAGCUUGUUUGGACGCCGUGAAAUCUAGGACUUCGUUUUGAACGGGAGGAUGAGACGGAAUGGUUGAAUGCGAAGAAGGCUUAGAAGCUUGGAGGAAAUCUGGGAUGAUACGGAUGACAUGGGAGGGUAGGUUGGAUUUGGCUGGGGUUAAGCUGGGAGAUCCGUGGGAUAAGGAUGAACUUUGUUUUGAGGCUGGGAUGCUUAAUCUACGGACACAGGAUGGGUAGCUUGGGACUUCGUUAAAGGCUGGGAUGAGGGGGGUGGUGUUCUCGGCUGAGAGGAGAUGCCGGAAGAAUUGGAUUUGGGUUCAUCCCGUGGAUCAUGUGAUUCUGUUUUGGGAUGCAGGGAAUCACAAGCGGGAUGAGAGUUGGUUCCGAAACAGGGGAUAAGCUUGGGAAGUUUGCUGGGAUUAGUCCGGAAGGAUGUUGGGAUGUGGAGAAGAUAAGGAUGCUAGGAGGAAGAUACGAUGGGAAGAUGAACUGGGAUGCAGGGGAUUCGGAAGUCAUGGGAAGGAGAAAUGAUUCGUGAGCUGGGAUAUUCGGAGAAGGAAAGAUGUGCUGGGAGCAAAUCCGGAUGGGGUUGAUCCGGCUGAGAUGCGGCUGAGCCGGACGCGUGGGAAGAUGAAAUGGN
rnacentral:lncRNA from 1 species